UGGGGAAUUUUGGACAAUGGGCGAAAGCCUGAUCCAGCAAUGCCGCGUGUGUGAAGAAGGCCUUCGGGUUGUAAAGCACUUUUGUCCGGAAAGAAAUCCUUGGCUCUAAUACAGUCGGGGGAUGACGGUACCUGAAGAAUAAGCACCGGCUAACUACGUGCCAGCAGCCGCGGUAAUACGUAGGGUGCAAGCGUUAAUCGGAAUUACUGGGCGUAAAGCGUGCGCAGGCGGUUUGCUAAGACCGAUGUGAAAUCCCCGGGCUCAACCUGGGAACUGCAUUGGUGACUGGCAGGCUAGAGUAUGGCAGAGGGGGGUAGAAUUCCACGUGUAGCAGUGAAAUGCGUAGAGAUGUGGAGGAAUACCGAUGGCGAAGGCAGCCCCCUGGGCCAAUACUGACGCUCAUGCACGAAAGCGUGGGGAGCAAACAGGAUUAGAUACCCUGGUAGUCCACGCCCUAAAACGAUGUCAACUAGUUGUUGGGGAUUCAUUUCCUUAGUAACGUAGCUAACGCGUGAAGUUGACCGCCUGGGGAGUACGGUCGCAAGAUUAAAACUCAAAGGAAUUGACGGGGUCAUAGCUGUUUCCU
rnacentral:rRNA from 1 species